GAUUUCUGGCGGAACAUUUCAGGCCGGCCACGGUUUCGUGUGUUAGUGCUUGAAGUCUUCGCCAUCCUUCCAAUGGCUAUUCAUCCUUCUUCAUUGAGGUGGUGAGUGGUAUUGGAUCUUUUACUUUGAAAAAAUUAGAGUGUUUCAAGCAGGCUUUAUGCUAUGAAUACAUUAGCAUGGAAUAAUAAUUUAGGACUUCGGUUCUAUUUUGUUGGUUUCUAGGACUGAAGUAAUGAUUGAUAGGGAUAGUUGGGGGUGCUAGUAUUCCGCGGCCAGAGGUGAAAUUCUUGGAUUCGUGGAAGACUAACUACUGCGAAAGCAUU
rnacentral:rRNA from 1 species